AUGAUGUCUGCCAACGGCGACUCUCCGGCCGGCGCUGCCGUGACGACGCCGAGGUCGCGGCUGCCGCGGUGGACGCGGCAUGAGACUUUGGUGCUGAUCCAGGCGAAGCGCGUCACGGAGCAGCGGGCCGCGCAGCCGGUGCGGCUCAAGUGGGCGGUGGUGUCGGCCUACUGCCGGCGGCACGGCGUGGAGCGCGGGCCCAUGCAGUGCCGCAAGCGCUGGGGCAACCUCUCGUGGGACCUCAAGAAGAUCGUCGCCUGGGAGAAGAAGCACGCCGCCGCCGCCGCCACGGGCGACGCGGACUCGGCGGCGCCGGAGCGCGAGUCGUUCUGGGACAUGCGCGGGGAGCAGCGGCGCGCCAGGCAGCUGCCGUCGUCGUUCGACCGGGAGGUCUACGACGCUAUCGUCGGCGCCGCCAACCAGCUGAAGCCGGACUCCGCCGAGGAGAUGGAGCUCGCCGACGACGCCGACGAGCACCCGCCGUCGCCGAUGAUGGUCAUGCCCAUCCAAGCGAGAAUGUACGUGCCGCCGGCCUCCUCCCAGUCCCAGCACGAGUGCUCCGAUCCGGCGACGGAGAGCGCCAAGAAGCCGGCGUCGGACAAGAACUCCACGUCGCAGCAGGACAGCGAGGCCACGUUCGGCGCUGGAGUCGGGGCGGAGGACACGGACACGGCGACGGCGACGCCAACGGCAGCGGCGGGGACGACGAGCAUGGGGAGGCAGAUGUCGGAGGCGCUGGAGAGGGGCAACCGUUUGCUGGCGGAGCAGCUGGAGGCGCAGAGGGCGAACUGGGACGCGGACAGGGAGCACCGGAGGGCGCUCCUCGCCGCCGUCAACAAGCUCGCCGACGCCGCCGCCAGGAUCGCCGAGAGGCUCUGA
rnacentral:rRNA from 1 species